UCAAAGCGAAUAGUCUUCUUAUAAGCUUUUAAUCAUAGUUAAAAUAAUUAGUUACAAUAAACAAUAAAUUAAAAUACAAUUUCUUCCUUCAUGACAUUUUUCUAGUGACAGCUUUAAAACAAAAGUGCAGAACAAAAGAACAAAGAAGAAAAAAGUAAAAAAAGGUUUCAUUUUCUGUCCAUGAAGUUUUGACGUUUAACAUCCUCCCCCCCCUUGGGGACAUGUUCCCCAAAGAGCUCAUGGGAAUCUAGUAGGGCUAGUCGAGAGACGGGCCUAUGAAUGACGCCGUUCUCUGUCUUGACGUCGACUACCCUGCAAACACCGUCAGUUCCUGGAUAGAGCUUCUGAAUGCGGCCCAUAAGCCAUUUCAAGGGUGGUAGCUGGUCGUCCAACACGAAGACUAAGUCGCCGACACGAACUGGCUGCUGUUCUCGCUGCCAUUUUACACGCUGCUGUAGAGUGGCUAGAUAGUCCUUUGCCCAACGAGACCAGAAGUGUUGCUGUAGGCGCUCAAUAAGUUGGUACCGGUUGAUACCAAUCUUCUCAGUCACGGGUGAUGGCUGCGAGGUUAACGGUCUACCCACAAGAAAGUGCCCAGGAGUAAGUGCGGAAAGAUCGGAUGGAUCAGCUGACAUUGCAGUAAUGGGACGCGAAUUCAUAAGAGCCUCAAUUGGUGCAAAGAGUGUAGAUAACUCGAAGGUUAAACUAGAAUUACCCGCUAUUCGUUUUAAAUGGAAUUUGGCCGUUUUGACUCCGGCCUCCUAGAUUCCCCCGAAAUGCGGUGCAUAUGCGGAUGAGAGUUUAAAUUGUAUGCCUGCUCCGCCCGCGUAGUCGCUAAUCAACCGCUCAUUUUCUCUGAACAGCCUUUUCAGUUCGUUAUUAGCACCUACAAAGUUUUUAAGUUUUCUCUCUGUGACACCUUAGCUAAUAGUUCCAGUGAAUUGUUCAACUCAGAACAAUAAUGAAUGAAGACUGACUUCCAUUGUCUAAGAGAGCUUUAACCGUAUAAUUCUCAGAAGAUCGACUGUCAAUUAUAUUGACUUGAGCAGUGCAUAGCAGGAUCUGCCCAGGUUUUGCCACAGAGUGUGACACAGGAUUAAACAAAGCAAUAGUAGAAGUUACCUGGGAAGAACUAGCUUCUUGAGGAGGUGACAUUGCAGAAGUCUUGUCAACAGAUGAGUUUGCCUUGUCAGUGUUAGACCGUGAUCUAUGUAGCAAUAAAUUGUGCUUUUUAUUGCAGAAUUUGCAAAAGUGAUGAUUACAGUGAGUGGAGAAAUGACCAGGACGCAGACAAUUAUGACAAAGCUUAUGCUUGGAAAUUUCAUUAAAUCUAGCAUCUACAGACAUAUUCUUAAACUUUUCACAUUUAUAUAGUAAAUGAUCUUGUGAACAUA